GGAUGAGGUAAGGGUGAAAAGGCGGGGUAAGAGCCCACCGGUCUUUAUGGCGACAUGAGGAGCCGCACAUCCUGCGGGUUGCAAGGCCAAAUACACCGGCAAUUAAGGAUUGCCCGUCCAGUGCCGGGGGGUAGGCUGCUUCAGCCCUCGGGCAACCGUGCGGCGUAGAUAAAUGACAGACACCCUCCCUGAGGGUACAUAACCCGGCUUAUAACGCUUCUGUUUUU
rnacentral:RNase_P_RNA from 1 species